GAAAUUCUCCCUUGUCUGAGUAUAACUCUAUUGGUUGAACAUAUGUACUUUUGGAGAAAGAAGUUUAUGACACAAAUUAUAAUUUUGGUACAUAAGGAGCUUUUUUCUUUCUUUUUUUUUCCUAUUGGUCUUAUUCAGUGAUUUUGUAUUAGUUACUGAUGGAGCCUUUUUAGGUGACUUUCUGUACUCUCCUUCCAUUGGAUAAAUUUCUGAUUAAUCUUUACUGCAUUUUUAUUCAUGUUACAUGUCUAGAACUUAGCACGUGGAAGCAUUACUCAAGUGUGAUGGCUGUUAGUCUUGCCGUUCCCAUCUUGGUAGUUUUAUAUACUUAAAAUUUUUUUUCUUUUCUCU
rnacentral:lncRNA from 1 species